ACGCCGCUUGCGGGAGAGACUGGUCUUUAUCGGCCAGCGCCGAAGGAGCAACCGCCCCGGAAUCUCUCAGGCAGAAGGACCGCGCGGCGUUA
rnacentral:ncRNA from 2 species